UUACCAGAUGGGCGUCCACGAUUACUCAAUACUUCUUGGGUUGAAUUCUAGGUUAUCAUCAUUGGAUCUCGAUCAUGCCCGGGUCAAAAUUUGCUAUCCUAUUCUCAAUCUUGAUCGAUUGGCCGGGCUUUUCAUAAUUCUUCACGAUUACUCAAUCGGCCAAAUAUAAAUAUCUUCAAUAUUAUCGUAUUGGUAAUAUUUGUUUAAUUACCCUUAAUCAUCUGAAGAAUAAUUUUGAUUAAAUUUGGUCUAAUCUUUUUUGAAGGAUCAUGAAGUGCCGGGUUUUUCAGGCCCCUAUCUUAGAUCCUGAUCGAUGGGCCGGGCCUUUUUGACUUGAUUACUCAAUGUCUUCCUCUUUCCACACCUCUAGUGAUAAACCCUAGAAUUUCUGGCAGAGAGAUCGAUUUCAGAAAUCGUGAACCAGCCGCUGGCAGAAUCAUAAACGCGUUCAUGUCUCUUCCUCCUCCUCCUCCGAACCCUCCGAACCCUCUAGGUCCCACCGAGUAUGAAUCUAUGACUUUUUGGGAUGGAGAGGGAGUAAAACUCUCUGAUAGAGAUAAUCUGGCCCGUUUUCUCAAUGGUUUGGAUCAAAUUGUUAGAGGAACUGGAUUUAGCGUAGCUGCUUCUACCGUUAGGCCCGUCGUGGCGAACACCCACGGGGUUGCAGAGCUUAGGUAUCCACGUGGAAGCUGUAUAUCCUCUGGAUCCUCAUCGUCCCAACGAACGACUUGCCAAACAGGUGGCCGACCAGCGUAUCCGGGAUCUUAUUGCGAAUAGGGCCAUGAGUCAAAGGGCACAAAAGGACUUCUAGUUCUUAUUGCUCGGGAUGGGGACUAUGUAUCUGAGAUACAAUCUCUGCAGAGGGCUGGAUUUCCCACGAUUUUGAUAAGUAACGACUGGACUAACACCAGUGAUGAUGAUUUCCUCCUUUGAACUGGAAGGAGAGGAUUCACACUAGCACCAUUUUGACCUUCCGUUAAAAAGCGAGGAAUCUUUUCCCGCAUUGCACUGAGGCAGCUAGAAGAGGAGAAGAAGGUUCCACUCACUUCUUUACUCUACUAUGAUCAUUCCUUCUUUUGACUCUACUCUUCUCCUCCUUUGAUGUUUCUGAUGUUUACUUAGCAGAAUCUUCUUUUUGCCUUUUGUUGUUGUUCAGACUUUGGCUCUCAAUUUCUAAAGCUGCAUCGAAAGUUUCAAUCUUUUCAUAGACUCUUGAUUUGAAUUGAUUUAAUAAUAUUGAACAGAACUUACUCAUA